rnacentral:rRNA from 1 species
GAUGAACGCUAGCUACAGGCUUAACACAUGCAAGUCGAGGGACCGGCGCACGGGUGAGUAACACGUAUCCAACCUGCCCUUUACUCGGGGACAGCCUUUCGAAAGAAAGAUUAAUACCCGAUAUAAAGGAUGGGGAUGCGUUCCAUUAGGUUGUUGGUGAGGUAACGGCCCCCCACGCCUGCCAUGGAUAGGUGUUCUGAGUGGAAGAUCCCCCACAUUGAAACUGAGCGACGGUCUGAACUCCUACGGAAGGCAGCAGUGAGGAAUAUUGGACAAUGGGCGUUGGCCUGAACCAGCCAAGUAGCGUGAAGGAUGAAGGCUUAUUGGUCGUAAACUUCUUUUAUAUAAGAAUAUGUGUUAUAUGAAUAAGGAUCGGCUAGCUCCGUACCAGCAGCCGCGGUAAUAC